CCCCCGCCCCCCCCCCCCCCCUAAUUUUUUCCACUUCCCCCACUAUUUCCACAAAAAUCCGGCCUUGCUCCAACGCUCUCCACUUGACGAGUAAAAUUGUCUGGCGUUAGACAGCUGUAACAUAAUAAAGUAGGGCGGAUACACAACGGGUUAAUAUAUUUAUAAGUAAUAGCAUAGAAAGAGGCGAAUUAGCUAUUAAAACGUCCCGCCCGAUGAGGGUCGUUUAGUAAAAUUCCCUUGGGCGCCGCUUGAUGAGGGUCAUUUAGUAAAUGGAAUUUUACUAAAUGACCCGAAUCGAGCGGCGCCCAAGGGAAUUUUACUAAACGACCCUCAUCGGGCGGGACGUUUUCAAUUGCUAAUUCGCCUCUUUCUAUGCUAUUACCUUGUAAUAUCAUGAUUGCGGGUAUUCCCGUUGUUCUCGCAGGGCCAUUAAAAACCAAUUAACAAUAAAUAAUGGUAUAAAUUAAAUGGUAUACAGUAAUU